CGCGUAGGUGGUUUGUUAAGUUGGAUGUGAAAGCCCCGGGCUCAACCUGGGAACUGCAUCCAAAACUGGCAAGCUAGAGUACGGUAGAGGGUGGUGGAAUUUCCUGUGUAGCGGUGAAAUGCGUAGAUAUAGGAAGGAACGCCAGUGGCGAAGGCGACCACCUGGACUGAUACUGACACUGAGGUGCGAAAGCGUGGGGAGCAAACA
rnacentral:rRNA from 1 species